AUCCUGGGCUGCAUCAAAAGAGGGGUGCCCAGCAGGGCAAGGGAAAUGAUGGUCCCUCUGUACCCUCAUGAGGUCCCAUCUGGAGUACUGUGUCCAGACCUGGGACCCUUGGCACAAGAAAUACGUGGAGCUGCUGGAGCAGAUCCAGGGGAGUGUCACAAAGAUGAUCAGAGAGCCAAAGCACCUUUUCUAUGAAGAAGGGCUGAGGGAGUUGGACUUGUUCAGACUGGAGAAGAGAAGGCUCUGGGGAGACCUCAUUAUGGCUUUCCACUACUUGAAGGGAAUUUAUAGUCAGGAAGGAAAUUGACUUUUUCCACAGGCUGAUAGUGAUAGAACAAAGGUGAAUGGCUUUAAACUAAAAGAGGGGAGACUUAGAUUAGAUAAUAGAAAUAAAAUUUUGCUCAGAGGGUGGUGUGGUCCUGGCACAGGCUGCCUAGAGAAGCUGUAGAUACCCCAUCCCUGGAGUCAUUUAAGGCCAGAUUGAAUGGAGACCUGGGAAGUGUGAUAUAGUGGGUGGCAAUGGCCCAUGGCAGUGGGUUGGAACUAGAGGGUUUACAUGGACACUCCCAACUCCAAGCCAUUGUAUGUUUUUAUGAUUCUGAGUGCGUGGACAUGGCUGCAUGACCUUGGUGCACAGCAGCCCACUGCUGAGGGACAGACAGCUGAAGGAACCUUCUUUGGUGCACUGGGAGCAGGAGGAACAGCAGCCACACGUGGAUGCAGCAUCUGAUUUAUCCUGCAUUGCAGAUGGGAGACCUGAUUCCCACAGCAUGGUGGCACUGCGUCAGGACAGAGGAGUCCUGGCACUGAUUUCAGUCAGGAGGAGAGCAAAACGUGACAUGGUGGCAGGUGGGGCACAGAGUACGGCAGCAUCUCUGAAGACCAGUGGACUCCUCCUGCCCUAUUGCCCAUAGGACCGAGAGGUGCAGCACUCUGCCCUGCCUUCCUGUCUGUUUCCUGCAAGGCUGCUUCAGCUAGCAGAAAAAAUCAUCAUUUGAGUUGCCUCAGCUUACACAGCACAAGCUUGUUUUAAAAAAGCUGUGAUCAUGUCAGCAAGCACGGCCUGUCACGUUCCUACCAGCCUCCUUCCAAAACCAGAGCACAGCCCAUGCUGACUGCCCACAGAGGUGGCCAGAGGAGGUGUGGUCAGGGGGUCCGGCCUACCCAGCUCCCUCACAGCCUGAGCGGGCAGGUCUGGGGCUGCUAUGGGGACAUGGCCAAGGAACAGCCACCUCAGCCCAACACAAUGGGCCUGGCAGGGUUUGGAAGCAGAUCUGGAGGGAUGCUGGGGCUGCUGGGGGGCUGCUUUCAAACUCUGCCAACUGGCUUUUGAAGCUUUUCUCUCUUUGAGCAAGCUGAAGGCAGCCCAGGCAGAUUUGCUACUUUCUGCCCCUUGAGCUAGUACCAGGAAAGGAGGAAGAGGGAUGGGAUCAGGGAGCAUGUGUCCACAGCUUUCCUCCCUAUAUCCCCCCAUGAGGAGCAACUGAGGCUCCCACAAGGGUGAGGAGGAGGCCAAAGAGUGGUUGCUUCUCCUCAUCACUGGAUUUCUGGCAGGAAAGCUGUUGGGGGAUUCUCAACACAGCUUCUUCUCUCUGACUCCCUCCCCAUUGAGAGCGAGUGAUGAAUGGGGAGGACACAAACCCUCCUUCACAGUGCUGCAGUGUCCUGCCAGUGUUCUCCAUCCUGUGGGCAGGCUCCUGGGACAUCUCUCCCACCAGAGUGGCUGUUCCCCAGUCCUGAUCCAGCCAGCCCUGCCUUCAUGUCCUACUCAGCCUGAGCAACCCACAGACCUGCCCAACCUAGGGCUGAGAAGGGCACACCCAUGGUAAGAAUAAGGUUUAAUGAAGUCACAGCAAAACACCUCUCGGCUAACUCGCCCUGCCUAUGAAGAUACCCAUUUCCGCAGGCUGUGAAACAUGUAAUGUGAAAAAAUGGUUGACAAAGUAAUUUCAGUGCUGGCUGUGGUUUUCCUAGUCAGACAUGAGCAUGGUAGGCAGCCCAACCCUUUGCUCCCCAAAUGUGGCAGCUGCUGAAAAGCUUUCUUUAUUCUGAAAAGAAAAAAUAUAUAUAUAUUCCAAGCCUCCAAUUUAAAUACACAGGAAUCCAGAUGGGAGAAGUGUUAGUUUGAAUUUACACGUAGGGGAUAAGGAGAAGAUCGGAAGAUAAAACCCGUAUUUGCUUUUUCUGAGUGAAUUAUAUGAUCAAGUUAAAAAAAAAAAAAAAAGGAAAAAAAAAGAUGUAUUCCAGCUGCAAACACUUUUACUCCUUCUGAAAACAUAGCCUACGUAGCCAUGAAUGAGGUGUUUAGUAAGCUCUGACCAUAUUAGAAUAUGUGCUAGAGGAAAGUGCUAAGAGGAAAAAAAUCACUUUGUUAGCUGAGCCAAGUGAGGUAGCCAAACUCAACCUGAGAGCAUUUCUGCAGAUAUCCACUGGGAUGUUACACGCCCAGUUUUCAGUAUGAUGCAUGUUCAACUGCAGAGCAUCAGCAUGUGCAACAGAAGCCGCUUGGUUGAGCUGGUGCAAGGAGAGCAAGAAAUGGCAGGCGCGUGGCUGCUUAGGUCCUGCAGCAUGGCUCCCAGCCUUCAGCCAGGCUGUGUCUGCUGAGGAUGCAGUCAAAAGUGGGCUGCUCCAGCGUGGAACCAUCUCAAUGGACCCCACCUGCAUCUGAACUUACAAGUGGAAGCCCUGCCGCGUCUCUGCCAGCUUCACAUGAGCUGUGGCAAGGAGAGCUGCUCCCAUGGCUGCUAAGAGAUGUGCUGAGAGAGGUGGGGGGAAACCUUGUCAUCAUUUUUUUUUUUUUGUGCAGUCACUAUUUUCUUGUGAAUGAUAGUAACAGUUCAGCCUACAAAGCUGAUGUAAUUGUGAAACUUUCUUUCAGCGUCACUGUUCAAAUGCCCCUGCGUGGAUGUUUUAAAGCAGACCGCUUUAACAGCAGCGUGGCUAUACCUAAUGUCCUUACGUAAUCUUCUUCUUUAACUUGUUUUUUCACAUAUAUAGUGUUAUGAGAAUGUUAUAAGAAUCUGAAGAUUCUUAUAAAGCUCGUUGUUGCAAUCACUGUUUCCAUUUCUCAUCUUUGUAACUGUUGGCGAGAUUUAUAAAGUCAGAAUUUCCCAAAGCAAGAUGCUUCUGCAAGUCACCUAUUCAGUCAGGACGUAACAGAUACCCCUUUGUCAGUAGCUGAAUGAAUAGACUGAGGCAAACUUCAGCUGAAUGCACUGCCCAGAUUCCACAUCUUUUCAGAGGAAUAAGAAGCUUCUGGCAGAUUCACAUCCAGUUGGGAUGAGAGGAAGGGUCAUAGGGAUGCAAUAUAAGGACUAUUCUGGCAAAGCCAUUGCUCAGAGUUCAGGCAUGCAAGCCUACUGCUGGUGUUUGCAAGACUGUGGUGUCAGAAAGGCUUGAGCAGACCGUAUGGGUUCGUGGAGUCACCUUGCUCUUCUCUUGCAUGUCUUGGCCUCUGCAGUACAGAUAUGAGAACCUGGGAUCUGGGCUGAGGGCAUGCAUUUUAAGAAGAUUCUUACUAUUAGGAAGGUCCCAUCAAUGGCUGGGGUGGAUCAAUUGAAGGUUUGCUGGCCACCACUGGGAAUAGGAGUGAAGAAAAGGGCAUGGCCCAAAGCAAAACUCUGCUAACCUGCAAACGAGCCCAUCAUUCUAGCUCUUAGCCCUAUCAAUUGCCACCAGGUAUCACUUUGGUGAGAGAGGCAGAAAAGGCAAUUGGGCUCAACCUGCCACUGCCUGUUGGGAUUCUGAAUUGGGAAAGUUCUAACUCUUGUUUCAUGCAAGUAAGCAUAGAGGAAGGAAGGCAGCAAAGGGUUGGUUGGGAGGUGUAACUGCUUCUGCCCUGGGUGUUUGAGGUCAGAUCUGCAGAGGGAUCCGGCCUGAGCUACAUGAAGUCCCUGCUUGCUGCCCUGCUCAGCGCACCACUGCUGCCCCAGCCCCUGCCAUGCAGACAGCCUGUGUCAAGGUGCAGAGCUCUGGGGAAAAUUACCACCCGAUGAUCUUACAAAGUCCCUUCCCAUCUGGGCUGUUCUGUGAUACCCAUGAGCUGUAGACUUCAUGGCCUGGUUUCAUCAAUAAAGCCAAUGUCUGGUAGAAAUACAGCUGAGACCUUUUGCUUCUUCAUGCAGCAGCUUUCUGAACCUGGCACACUGUACUUGGACCUCUCUCUUUUAUGUGCUUUGUAUUCUUCAUCCAAGCUAGGCAUAUCACUUUGACUCCUUCCUCCCAUGGGACAGGAUGUUAUUGGCUUGCAGAUUGCAUUUGCUCCUACACAGAUUUCUUGCAUGCAAAUCAAGAAGUUGAGAGGAAGACAAUGUAAUGAAUAUGCUAAGCAUAGAAAAGUGGUAUAUUGUUACGGUGACACUACAGUGUAUUUAAGGCAGAAAACAAGUGAAUAUAAAUACCCCAAAAACAGCAGUUCUGCAUCAAAACAUAGGAAGACAAAUGUGAGGUUGAAGAAAUGAAAAUUCUACUGAAAACAAAUGAUUGUCUUAAAAUAUUUACUGAAAAACAGUGGCUAUAAUCGGUUAAUUGUUAAAAAAAAAAGUGAAUUUCUGUAUUUUGAACUCUUCUUCACUGUGACAGGUUCCUUCUUUAGAACAUGGAGAAAGGCACUGCUAUACAGCAUGGAGAGGCGGACAUUUCAAAACAAAAGUGCAAGGAAGGUUAGGAAAAGGUUCUGCCUAACAAUUUGGUCAUGACAAUGUAUAAAGGCUUAAUUACAGGGGUUUAUCCACUUUGUCAGUACAGAUUUCCACUUUUCUUAUGGCCAAGCCUCAAACAUUAACUAUGUGAGUCCAUCCCCUUCUCUAUGCAUUGCUGUGCCUCUGGACUACAGUGUAGCUGGAAUAUGUUUCUGAGGGAACUGGUGUAAUUCGUCUUAUGGGUGAGGGGCAGCUACCUGCUGAGUCCACACUGCACAAUGCCUGGGCACCGUCAAAGAAUACAAAGGGCUCUUAAACACCACAUCCCCAGUGCAGCUUCCAUUUUAAGCUUUCCCUGACUUCAGCAGUAGGGUGGUUCUUCUCCACAACACAACGUACCUCACCAAGAAACUCAAUUCUGCAUUGUCGCAUCGUUCAUAUGUAUUUUGCAUCUUUAUGUUGGAGAUAAUUGCUAAUAGAUUAAAGUGAGCUCAUACAAUCACUAAAAUCACUUAAAAGGCAAUAAAAGCAAAUGGAACUUACAAAAGUAGCAGCCCAACCCUCUACUCACUGUAGCCUCUCAAACGGAGGUAAGCAAAACACAGAUUAUUGCUUUUUCUCUCUCCUUUUUUUUAAAUCAUUACACUCAACACACUCCUGAUCAUCUUUGUUCCUGUGAAGCUGAGUCUUUUCUUGCAUUUGGUAACCAAUGUUAGCGUUUCUUUCCUCGAGGAUUCCUAUCACACCAAAAGCCAAAGCAAAACUGGACUUCAGGGCAAGUUUUGCCUGACUAGGAAUUUUGGCCACUAUGUGUGUGCGUGUGCACGCUGUGUAUUUGUGUGCAUGUGAGUGUGUGUGCCUACAUUGUAAACAUAUAUAUAUAUACAUGUCAAUCUAUGAAAAUGCAUAAUUUCUUGGCUCUCGUCCUAACCUUUGUGCAACUGGGUGCCGGGAUCUGGAUAUUCAGCGUGCUUAGCAGCACUUUUUAAUGAAGAGGUGUUUUCUCCCUUGGAGCUGUCAUUCUCUGCCACAUCACAGACUCUUUCAGACAGAAAAAUAAUUGGCCACUUUCUUAGAGCGUGGAAUCGGAGAGCCCCAGGGACUGACGGAGUGCUCAGCGAACCGGGAUGGUGCCUUGCUGUGGCGCCCACUAGUGUCUCCCUGCCCUGUGUGGAUGCUCCCUGAGGAGGACCUUGCCAUCCACCUGGCACCUGAAUCCGGGCUGGUAGAUGAUGCAAUGAAAUGGGGCAGGCGAGACUCAAAUCCCUAGAAGGAGAAAGACGAAAAGAAAUGGACAAAUAUUUCCAGAACUGAUCAGCUACUAAGUGGAAAUUCAGGAUGUCUUUUCCUUUUUUUUUUUUUUUUUUUUUUUUUUUUUUUUUCCCUCUCUCUAUAAUGUACAUACUUGUUGACUUAGUGGGAUAGUCUUCUGUGUUUUGCAGGAGGCUUUGUGUAUUAUUCUGCUGUAAUGAUGGGAUUUUAGCAGUGCUUAUUCUACUCAGGGGCUCAUAACAUUCACUCUUCAUCAACUACUCCCCAGAGUUGUUAAUGUGGGUAAAUAGGCAAUGAAGUAAAAUUUACCCUUAGCACCUCCCACCUACUGCACCACAGGCAGAAAAGUGAUUAAAUGAAUGGUCAGGCUGCCUGUAUGCCAUCCUCGAGCUCCAGGUGGACUUUUAGAGCACCUUCCUGGCAAAAGCAUGCCCCUGCCUAACAGCAACCAAAUGCUCGAAUACGACAAAGCUCAACCUGCCUAGCAAAGUGCAGCUCUGCUACUUGAACAUCAGUUCUUGCUGCCCUGACCAUUCUUGGUAUGACAGCGGUGUCCCACUCCUGCUCCCAAGGGCUGGCAGAUGAAGGAAGGGCAUCUGCCCGAGGCAUUGAAAGCUCCUUCUCUUGUAACCGUAUUGACAGAAAGAAAAACAUGUCCUUCACCUUGACAUCUGGUCCCAGGUCACCAGGAGUACAUGUGUAGGCAGAGAGCAGCCACCACUCCCUGGGAUGGAGAGAUUGCAGCCCUCCGACCUUUAACAUCAUGCCAGGACACUGUUUUACUUUCCUGGUGGUUGCACAGCUUGCCAACCCUGUUUCGGGAUGUAUACAAGGGUAACUGGAAGGUGGGAUUUUAUCUUGAGGAGGCUCAAUAAGGUGUAAAGUAGGCAGAAAUGUUGCCAUGAUAGUAUUAUGUGACUGAGACCCCACCACCCUGUGACAUCAGGGUCUGACUACUCCUAUCAGGCCACCAGCUGCUUUCUAAUGGGUCUUACUAAAGGAGGCUGUAUUUUAAUUCAGACCAACACCUACCACAAAAGAUCAGAAGACUUCUUUUUUUUUCUACGCCCUUUUCAUAUUCAUUACAUCCGUUCCUUUUCUGCCCUUUAAUCCAUAAUAGCUGUGGACAGCGGGAGAACCAGUAACUGCCUGGAACGUGACUGAUGGAGAACGGAAAGAGUAUAGACCAAAAAAAAAAAAGGAAGGAAGGAAGGAAGAAAAUGCGUUUGUGUGAUGGUUGUGCCGCGAUGUUGCCCAUUUAUCUGUCCUCAUCUGCAUAACUCAACCUCUUCAAGCUAAAAUUUCCCCUCAGUAAUGUGCUAGGAUCAACACAACCAUCCAUGCUAAGAGGAAAGAGUGGUGCUCAUACUUCCUGGAGUUAAUUGGAGAUAAAGGGUGUGUGGAUGCUUUCACGGGGCCAGUGGCAAAAUAGAGACUGGUUUUGUGGUGAGGGGUUUCCACAGUUCUAUUUCGAGAAAGAAAUGUCACCUCAAAAACUAAAUCCAACUGAAUACUUUUUUCCCAUCUCCCUUCCGCAGCUUUCCCAAAUAUAUGUGAAGAUGACAGAAGCACCUCCUUUGCAAAGCCUUACACUUUCUGAAACAUGUCUUGUUUUGUUUCUGUAGCCAGCAGGAUGCCUUAGGCCCAGCAACAAAGAGCAGUUACGUGAUCUUACAUAGCAAAGUUAUCCAUUGCCAAGAAUGUGAUUCAAGCACAGUCUGUUGAACUUUGUGUUAUACUGCCAUACUUCAGUGCUUAGGAUCAGAUCUGGAUUAGCUUUUACUAAUGAUUGCAGUUCCCUUUGAUACAAUCUUGCUGCUGAAGAUACAGGGUUUUUAAGCGAUCAUUUCCCUUAUAAAUUAGGGGAAGGACACGACUGAUCAGACUACCUGGAAUACCGCUUUAUUUUCAAAUCCUGAGUUGUUUCUUUCAUCUUCUGAUUCAGUAACUCAUACCUGUUCUUCCUAUUCCAAAUACCUUGUCUGGAAGAAGGUGUUCUGCUCCUUCUCAUUUUUAUUAAUUAACCCCAUGAUAAGUAUGGGGCUUAUAUUUAUGGAUACCAAUGUACAUUUUUUAUGGGUAUGUCUAUAUUCUGCCUUUUCAAAUUGGUUAUGAUACAUAAUAAAUUGGCAGCUAAAUUUAACUGGUUACCAAAGAGUAAAAUUGCUGAUAAUUUGACACCAUCCCAUUUAAUAUUAAAUACAAUAGUUCUUUGCUUUUGUACAGCUAUUGAUUUCUCCUAUUUAAGGUAUACACACAUAUAUUUCAACUGCAGCUCUCUGGCUUUUUACCCUGUGGGGUUUGAUUUUUUUACACCUCAUAGUAUAUUUGAAGCUGCACUUCUUGUAUCUUCAGGACUAUAUACCUCUACACAGUGAAAAUCCCACGUCAUCAACUCAAAUGGAUUGGUGAGCUCUGCAGCUGUAGGGCAGCGCUUCUCAACAGAAAAAUAAAAGGGGGAGAGGAGGGGAAGCAUUUUCAAUUAAUUUUGUCUCCUAACAUUCCAACGAAGGAUCAGUCUGUCUGCAUGUGACAGAUUGAAACAGCCCGAGCAGUGGAAGGAUGGAGCUGGCUUCUUCAUAGAAAUACUCACCGAGGUUCAGCAUCAAGCUGAAAUGCCCUGAGCCUUUCCCGAGCAUACUAAUGUGCCUCUGAUAAUUCUGCGUGCUGUAAGCUCUCUGCAGCCUUGAAAAGAAAGGUAUGGAGAUUAAAAAAGAAGAAGAAGAGAGGAAGAAGAAGAAGCACUCAUGUGUGAGUGACUGCGUCUGAAAAGUCUCCGAUUUAGUGACUUCAAAAAGGACUCUGAAGGACGGUGGAAGCGUGGAAAGUCUCAUGAUGGCAUCUCAAAGUAUCCUUCCUUUGCCCAGCUCUGCACUCCGUGUUUGGUUGAAUCAAUGGGAGAGGGAGGGCGGGUUGGGUGGCCGGAGAAAAUCUGUGAAUUCCCAUCACAGAUUUGCUGUAAAGGUGAAAGUAUUGCAGCCUCUUGGGAAUUGGAUGCUAGCAGAUUGAGGAGGGCAUCCUGAAACAGCAAGCUAUUUAUUUUUUUCCACCAAAAUGAGAGCAAGGAAAAUCAAGUAAGGAAACAAAUUACCUCACAGAAACUGUUCAAAUGUAGCACUCAGGAAACGAGCUCAGGACAUGGAUGUCCUGCAGUGACAGCAGCACUCCAGGAGAAGAGCACGGUGACAGGAGCAUAGCAUAGCAGUGCAUUCUGCUGACCAGAACUCUUAAGCUGUCUGUGUAGAACAGUUGUGUGUGUGUAUCCAUACUCAUAUAGGUAAGGAUAAUGGAUAUACAUGGCUACAUGUGGUGACGUAUGAAGACAUAUAUAUGUGCACAGUAGCCUGAUGGAAUAGGUUAUAUGGUUUUCAGCUUCUUUUCUCCUCCUAGGCCCUUCCAUGCAGGGUGCUUCAGUUUACCAGUGUUAGUCCUCAUGAAUUUAAACAGUCUGCUGAAGCUCUUUUCUGAUCGCUGACCUCCAAGAAGCAGGAAAGGACUCAAUCCUAUCCCGAAGGCGAAGGGGAAAAUAUUUCAGCACCGCAUCAUUCUGCCGUAAUUGAGGCUGCAUUCUGGAACGGCUCAUUUAGAGUCGGAUGCGCUUCUUAUCUGAAUAAACCCAGGGACUAUAUUUGAAUAAAGUGCAACAAAACAAGAUAAUCUGUAACCCUUCAAAGA